UACGUAGGGUGCAAGCGUUAAUCGGAAUUACUGGGCGUAAAGCGUGCGCAGGCGGUUAUGUAAGACAGUUGUGAAAUCCCCGGGCUCAACCUGGGGAACUGCAUCUGUGACUGCAUAGCUAGAGUACGGUAGAGGGGGAUGGAAUUCCGCGUGUAGCAGUGAAAUGCGUAGAUAUGCGGAGGAACACCGAUGGCGAAGGCAAUCCCCUGGACCUGUACUGACGCUCAUGCACGAAAGCGUGGGGGAGCAAACAGG
rnacentral:rRNA from 1 species